GACAUAACAUGUCAGUUUCAGUCUUCAUAAUGAUAUUACAAAUGAUAAGACAAAUUAUUAUGUCUGCCAUUAUUUCCACUAAGCAGAAUACUGGAGCUGAAAAGUCAGAACACCAGAAUCCUGGAAAUAAUAUAAACAUUCCAUUAUGACAAAAAGAUGGGAGUAGAAAAUUCCAGAUCAGACUUCAGAGAGUUCUAGAGAUUUUUUGGGGGUGGGGUGGAUUAUGCUUUCAGAUCAGUAUUGAUUUCUGGAAACUGCCUGGACUAGGCUGUGCAGUUUUUAAUGACAAGACUUCAGAAGUGGUUUGCCAGGUCUCUUCCUAAGGUUGAGAAAGAGAAAGACUGGCAAUCUACUUUCUGUCCCACUGCCUUAACCACUACACCAAAUUGGCUCUUGCUAUAUUCAUUGAUUCCAUAGAAGCUGAUGUUGAUCAUUGACAAGGGUAUCGGGGUAAAGGAUUUAUCUCAGCAGAUAUGAAAAAAAAUGGAAUUGUUUUGACCAUGAACCCCCAAGUAAAAUCAGCCCAAGGAAGGAGGCAAUGGCAAACCACUUCUGAAAUCUUUCCAAGGAAAUUGCAUAGAGUGGUACAGGCGGUCAUCAAUAGUCAACACUAAGGGACCAAAAUGAAUGAAUAUGUCUACAUAUAUGUGGUCAAGUCUGGCAAAGAAAAGGGAUCUCCUUCGGAUGUGACGCCUUUUUUUUCUUUACAGAAGCGGCUCCAACCAAUUUGCUCUCAUUCUUUUAAGUUUUUUUUAAAUGAUUUAAUAUUGCAUUAAAUCAUGGGAUUUAAUGCAUGGGAAAAAUACAUUUGUGCUGAAAACA